UGUAGUGAAUAAAGCAGCAAGGCUUCCACGAAGUCACUCAGUCGAUAAAUGUGUUAAAAAUAACCAUAACCAACUAUUCUGAAGUCCACCAGUCGUUUUCUGAGCAAUGUUUUUGCAGUUUUAAUUGCUGGAUCGUUUUCAUUUGGCAGUUUUUCCAGGAAGCAAGGAAAGAUGGACCGUGGCAGCUUUUAACUCUAAAGAGUCAGAAUCAGAAUUCAGUUUAAUGCCAAGUAGGUUUACACAUACAAGGAAGUAGUUUUGGUUUAUAAUGGUGCAUGCAUAAACGCAGUAAGGGAAAUAAAAUGUAAAAUAAGAGCAAAUCUAGAAAUAUUAAAACUAUUGUAAAAACUAUUUUAAAAUGGAAUAAAAAAAUGUAUACAAGAAAUAUAAAUACACAAAAAAGAAAAUACAAUAAGACUACAGGCAUUCAGAAUUGAGUGUAAAAAGACAUUUCAUGGAUUGUGUUUUGUAGAGCAGUGAUGUGAAACACAAAUACCACAAUAACACUUGAGCAUGGAAAUAAUAAUCUGAUACAAAUGAUGCACUCAGAAUUUUCUCCAAAUACUUAAAGGUGCAGUCAGCAAUUCUAAUCCAAUAUACUUUAGUCAAAUUCAGAUAUUAUCUCUUCACAGUCCGUUCGGUCGGUGCGCUGAAAAAAUAAAUGGUGUCUACAUCCCUGGCUCUGUGAACGGAAAACAAAUACAAAGGGCGAGCGACACGACACUAUCUCAGGCAACCAGCAACAUUGCGCACAAGACCGGGGAAAGGUCAAGGAUGUGUAAAGAGAAAAGGCAGCGAGAGCGAGAGGGACGGUAAAUCUAGAGGGGGGUAUUUGUUUGGAUGUUGAGGUCAAAUGUCAACAAUCUUUCUCCAGAAUCGCUGACUUCACCUUUUCAGGGGGUCAGUUUCACACACAUGCCUUGACUUAAUUUCUUUUAGUUAGAAGCCUACUUCAGUGUUGGAUGAGGCUGAUCAUAUCCCCUUAUGCAGCAUCAAAGGCAGCUUGCGUGUUGCUUAUUUGGCUCGAGUUCCCCCUGCUGUUUUCAAUAGAGUUGAACCUCACCGAAUACUGUCCAAGGAACAUUGGUCCAAGAUAUCAUCCAGCUGAGAACAUCACGAAUCACAAGAACUUGGGACUUUUCACCUUCUGCAAUAUCAAACCACCACCAUCUGCAUCCCAACAUGCUCCAUCUCCAACCACCUUAAGUCAGAGGAACAUGGAUCAUCCAUUCCUGAGCCAGAUCAUUAACAACCUAGGUGAAAGGCUUCAGACGUUGUGCCCUCUACUGUAAACUUCUUCAGGAGAUGAAAUCCGUCCUACACCUUGAUGUGCCGCUGAUUUUGGAGUGCUAAAGACAUUGACAUUGCCUUUCACAGUGUAUGAUUAAAUUGAAUUCUGCCUUCUCUUGAGUGGCUUUUUCACUUAAGGGGGGUAGUGAUGCAGGUCAAAUGAACAGAUCCCUUGCUGUCUGGGCAUAGUCAUGUGUGAAUUAAACGCCUCAUCACUUUGCAGAGGCAGUGUCAGCUGUGUAAGUUAAUUCUGAUGGUCUUCCCCAUUUACAACACACACACACACACACACACACACAGGAGCAGCCUGUAUAUCAAAUACAACCUGACGCACCAGCCUCAGAAGUCUAUUGUCCGGGCUUUAUUUUACGCAGCAAUGAUCUUGAGAUUACCAUAUUCUGAAUGAAAAUGUUUUUUUUUUUUAAAUAUAAUUUUCCUGCCAGAGAAUUAAUUACCGUAGUCUAUUAAUCUUAUCUGUUGGUGCAGAGGCUGUGGAUAAGAAACUGGUGAGGGAGGGAAAAAAAAGUAGCAGGAAGCAGUCAAGCUCCAAGCUCAAGCAUCUGAGAACUGGCUAAUGUUAUUUUAAGAGAGAGGCAGCACUUAGAGUUCUUUAGCAGUCACCAAGUCUAGUGGAAAAAAAACAACCUAUCUCUGCCUCUGCAUAAUUCAUUACCUAUGUGAUGAUGAUUUGCUUGGUCAGACAGACAACCAACUACCCUGGCAAUGGAAAUUUAACUUAGAUUGAUGCAGCAUACACGUGGCAUUAAUCAUGCAAGUCAGUGAGCUGAUGCCUCAUCCAGUGUUGAUAAAACAUAUUAAUCAGGCGAUGUAGUUACACUCCCACGCAAGAUACUUUGUUUUACUUUCUAAAACUAGAAGAGCACUCAGAGAGCGCAGACCUCUGCCAAGGCCAAAUGCCCUAUCUUGCAAUGGUUCAAUAUACAACAUUCAGGACAUUAAUAUAGCAGCAAAAAACUAUUUUCCUACAACCCACCCAAGUUCUCCCACACUACACCGCCGCUCCGCUCCCUUCACUGGCUACAAGUGGCGGCCCGAAUCUGCUUCAAGACUCUGGUGCUGGCCUACAGUGCUGUGAAUGGAUCAGGCCCCUCCUACAUCCAGGCCAUGGUCAAACCAAACACCCCAGUGCGUUCACUUCGCGCUGCAUCGUCCAAUCGGCUCGCUACUCCCUCACUGCGGAUGGGACUCUGAUUCCCUUCAAGAAAAACCCGCCUGUUUGCCCAUCCUGGUUCCAAAAUGGUGGAACGACCUCCCCAUUGAUGUCAGGUCAGCAGACAGUCUUCACACCUUCCGUCGCAGACUGAAAACUCACCUGUUUCCA